rnacentral:rRNA from 1 species
AUACGGAGGAUGCAAGCGUUAUCCGGAUUUAUUGGGUUUAAAGGGUGCGUAGGCGGAUGAUUAAGCGUGAGGUGAAAGCUCGGGGCUCAACCCCGGAACUGCCUCGCGAACUGGUUGUCUUGAAUGUCCGUGCCGUGGGAGGAAUGUGUGGUGUAGCGGUGAAAUGCAUAGAGAUCACACAGAACACCGAUUGCGAAGGCAUCUCACGAACGGAUGAUUGACGCUGAGGCACGAAAGCGUGGGGAUCAAACAGGAUUAGAUACCCUGGUAGUCCACGCAGUAAACGAUGAUAACUAACCGCUGGGGUUUCGAUUUCAGUGGCCAAGCGAAAGCGAUAAGUUAUCCACCUGGGGAGUACGACCGCAAGGUUGAAACUCAAAGGAAUUGACGGGG